AUGGAGGAGAACGAGGUGGAGAGCAGCAGCGACGCGGCCCCGGGGCCUGGCCGGCCCGAGGAGCCCUCUGAGAGCGGCCUGGGCGUGGGCACCUCUGAAGCGGUGUCGGCAGACAGCAGCGACGCCGCGGCCGCUCCGGGGCCGGCGGAGGCCGACGACUCCGGCGUGGGGCAAAGCUCUGACCGAGGCUGCGGCUCUCUGGAAGAAGUAUCUGAGAGCAGCUCGAGCACAGACCCUCUGCCCCACGGGUACCUGCCUGAUUCAUCUUCUGUGUCCCGUGGGCCAGUGGCAGGGGUGACAGGUGGUCCCCCAGCCCUGGUGCACUCCAGCGCACUCCCAGACCCCAACAUGCUGGUGUCCGACUGCACGGCUUCUUCCUCAGACCUGGGCUCAGCCAUUGACAAGAUUAUCGAGUCCACCAUUGGGCCAGACCUAAUCCCGAGCUGUAUCACCGUAACCAGUGCUGAGGAUGGUGGGGCCGAGACUGCACGGUACCUGAUCCUGCAGGGCCCAGAUGAUGGUGCCCCCAUGGCUUCGCCAAUGUCCAGUUCCACCUUGGCUCACAGCCUGGCAGCCAUCGAGGCCCUGGCUGAUGGCCCCACAUCCACGUGCCUAGAGCCCCCUGAGGAAGCACGGGGUAGGCCCAGCUCCCCGGCGCAGCCGCCCCCAGGCUCUGGCACCGAGGAGCCAGACCUGCAGAGCCUGGAGGCCAUGAUGGAGGUGGUGGUGGUACAGCAAUUCAAGUGCAAGAUGUGCCAGUACCGGAGCAGCACCAAAGCCACGUUGUUGCGCCAUAUGCGGGAGCGUCACUUCCGACCAGCAGCAGCAGCUGCGGCUGGAAAGAAGGGGCGUCUGCGGAAAUGGGGCACCUCAGCCAAGACCCAGGAGGAAGAGGGGCCAGAGGAGGAAGAUGAUGAUGACAUCAUCGACGCCGGCGCCAUUGAUGACCUAGAGGAGGACAGUGACUACAAUCCAGCUGAGGAUGAGCCCCGGGGCCGGCAGCUACGGCCCCAGCGCCCUACUCCCAGUACUCCAAGACCGAGAAGGAGACCUGGCCGGCCUCGGAAACUGCCUCGCCUAGAGACCUCGGACCUCCCAGAUGGUGUGGAAGGGGAACCUCUGGUGAGUUCCCAGAGCGGACAGAGCCCUCCAGAGCCCCCAGACCCCGAAGCACCCAGCUCCUCGGGUCCAGGAUGCCUGGCUGCCCUGGGCAAGGCUGAUAGGGCCCCUGUGGACCCUGGUGUGAGCCAGUCGGAUGCGGAGAACGCAGCACCCUCCUGCCCAGAUGAGCCUGACGCUCUGCCCCGCCGCCGCGGCCGGCCCUCCAGGCGUUUCCUGGGCAAGAAAUACCGCAAGUAUUAUUACAAGUCUCCCAAACCCCUCCUGAGACCUUUCCUGUGCCGCAUCUGCGGCUCCCGCUUCCUGUCCCACGAGGACCUGCGCUUCCACGUCAACUCCCACGAGGCCGGGGACCCCCAGCUCUUCAGGUGUCUGCAGUGUAGCUACCGCUCCCGCCGCUGGUCUUCACUCAAGGAGCACAUGUUCAAUCACGUGGGCAGUAAGCCCUACAAGUGUGACGAAUGCAGCUAUACCAGUGUCUACCGGAAGGAUGUGGUCCGGCACGCAGCUGUGCACAGUCGAGACCGGAAGAAGAGACCAGAUCCGACCCCCAAGCUGAGCUCCUUCCCUUGCCCUGUGUGUGGCCGUGUCUACCCGAUGCAGAAGAGACUCACACAGCACAUGAAGACACACAGCACGGAGAAGCCCCACAUGUGUGACAAGUGUGGAAAGUCCUUUAAGAAACGCUACACCUUUAAGAUGCACCUGCUCACACACAUCCAGGCUGUUGCCAACCGCAGGUUCAAGUGCGAGUUCUGUGAGUUUGUGUGUGAGGACAAGAAAGCACUACUGAACCACCAGCUGUCUCAUGUCAGUGACAAGCCAUUCAAAUGCAGCUUCUGCCCCUACCGCACCUUCCGGGAGGACUUCCUGCUCUCCCAUGUGGCUGUCAAGCACACAGGGGCCAAGCCCUUUGCCUGUGAGUACUGCCACUUCAGCACACGACACAAGAAGAAUCUGCGCCUGCAUGUACGAUGCCGACAUGCCAGCAGCUUUGAGGAAUGGGGGCGGCGCCACCCUGAGGAGCCCCCUUCCCGCCGUCGCCCCUUCUUCUCCCUGCAGCAGAUUGAGGAGCUGAAGCAGCAGCAUAGUGCAGCCCCUGGACCACCCCCCAGCUCCCCAGCACCUCCGGAGAUCCCCCCAGAGGCAGCACCUUUCCAGGCACCCGAGACCCCCCCACUGCUCUGUCCUGACACCCUUGGUGGGGCCACCAUCAUCUACCAGCAAGGUGCUGAGGAGUCGACAGCAAUGGCCACGCAGACGGCCUUGGAUCUGCUGCUGAACAUGAGUGCACAGCGGGAGCUGGGGGGCACAGCCCUGCAGGUGGCCGUGGUGAAGUCAGAGGACAUGGAAGCAGAGUUAGCAUGCCCUGGUGGGCAGCCUUCCCCAGCAGGUGCCACUCCACAAGUGGUAACCCUCCACGUGGCAGAGCCAGGGAGCAGCGUGGCAGCAGAGAGCCAGCUAGGCGCUCCUGACCUGCAGCAGAUCACCCUGGCACCGGGUCCGUUUGGUGGGACUGGCUACAGCGUCAUCACAGCACCCCCUAUGGAGGAGGGGACGUCAGCUCCUGGCACGCCUUACAGUGAGGAGCCCCCAGGGGAGGCAGCCCAGGCUGUGGUUGUGAGUGACACCCUGAAGGAAGCUGGCACCCACUAUAUCAUGGCAGCCGAUGGGACCCAGCUGCACCACAUCGAGCUGACUGCAGAUGGCUCUAUCUCCUUCCCAAAUGCGGAUUCCCUGGCCUCUGGAGCCAAGUGGCCUCUGCUACAGUGUGGGGGUCUGCCCAGAGACGGCCCUGAACCCCCAUCUCCAGCCAGGACCCACCGGGUGGGAGACUCCCAGGGCUCUGCUUCCCCACCCCCUGUGGCCAACAAAGCCCUGGGUCUGGGAGUUCCGCCGUCGCCACCAUCUGCAGCCACGGCAUCAUCAAAGAAGUUUUCCUGCAAGAUCUGUGCUGAGGCCUUCCCUGGCCGUGCAGAGAUGGAGAGUCAUAAACGGGCCCACGCCGGACCUAGUGCCUUCAAGUGUCCUGACUGUCCCUUCAGUGCCCGCCAGUGGCCUGAGGUCCGGGCCCACAUGGCACAACACUCAAGCCUGCGGCCUCACCAGUGCAGCCAGUGUAGCUUUGCCUCCAAGAAUAAGAAGGACCUGCGGCGGCACAUGCUGACCCAUACCAACGAGAAGCCUUUUGCAUGCCACCUCUGUGGACAGCGUUUCAACCGGAAUGGCCACCUCAAGUUCCACAUCCAGCGGCUACACAGCCCUGAUGGGAGAAAGCCAGGGACACCUACUGCCCGGACCCCAGCCCGGACUCCCACCCAGACCAUCAUCCUGAACAGUGACGAUGAGACGCUGGCCACACUGCACACUGCACUCCAGUCCAGCCACGGGGUCCUGGGCUCAGAGCGGCUACAGCAGGCACUGGGUCAGGAGCAUAUCAUUGUGGCCCAGGAACAGACAGUGGCCAAUCAGGAAGAAGCCACCUACAUCCAGGAGAUCACCACAGCGGAUGGCCAAACAGUGCAGCAUCUGGUGACCUCUGACAACCAGGUACAGUACAUCAUCUCCCAGGAUGGGGUCCAGCAUCUGCUCCCCCAGGAAUAUGUUGUGGUUCCAGAGGGCCAUCACAUCCAGGUACAGGAAGGCCAGAUCACACACAUCCAGUAUGAACAAGGGGCCCCUUUCCUUCAGGAAUCCCAGAUCCAGUAUGUGCCUGUAUCCCCAGGCCAGCAGCUGGUCACACAGGCCCAACUGGAGGCUGCGGCACACUCAGCCGUCACAGCGGUGGCUGAUGCUGCCAUGGCCCAAGCCCAGGGCUUAUUUGGCACGGAAGAGGCGGUGCCUGAACACAUCCAACAGCUGCAACACCAGGGCAUCGAGUAUGAUGUCAUCACCCUGACGGAUGACUGAGCCCCAAGGGCCCAACGCAGACCGUGGAUAUCAGGGCCAACCGUGCUGGGGGUGGGGGGCCCACUGGGACUCCCCUCUCUGUUCCGCCUAGGGUCUCCAGACACUGAGCAGCCAGUAUCCUGCCCCUCUAAGAGAGCCAGACCUGCGUUGCUGGGUUUAGGGGACAACCAUGGGCCCCAGCCAGGACAUGCUGGGUGCCCUAGCCUGCAGGCAGGCUUUGGGGAGAGAAAUUUAUUUUUGUUUGGAUGGACCCACUGGCCCCUCAGUCUCAAUAAAGGGACCAGAGUCCAGUCCUGACCAUCUUACUUUUGUCCGCAAGGACUUGGGAAAUGGCAGGAAAGAAGAGCCUGUUACAGCUCACAAGAGCUGCCUAGCUCCACAGUGCGGCCUGCCCUACCUCUGUAAGUGUGGUGGCCCAACAGCAGAGCAGGCCCUUGGGGCAGAGGCCUGAUACUGGGAGAGAUGGCUGAGCUGGUAAGAACCCCUAUGAGCACCUUCAGACCUCCUUCCCCUCUCCCCGGGCCCCAGAAGAACACCUGCUCCUCUGUGUCUCCAGAGGGCAGCACAGCCAGGUGCCUAUCUGCACGGAGACCAUACCCUAAAGCUCUGGUGGCUCAGAGCUGCUCUUCCUACUGAUCCUAGACUGUGAAUCAGCUGGCUGCCCACUCACUGUGGCAGCUCCAGGUCUAGCAGGAGUCUAGCGCUCUGCCUGGGCACAGCCCCAGUCGUCUGCUCCCUGGAGGUAUGAGUGGAGGCCUGGCUGUGAGAACAGCUUGCACAUAGAUGAAGUGGGCCUUUGGACUCCACACAUUCACUGGACGUAGGCAGAGGCCACCAGAGACUCAGUUGUGGGGUCAGCAGGGUGGGAAGUUAGACACCAGACCCUAGGUUGGAGUGUGAAGGCCGGGGGGGGGGGGGGGGGGGGUGUCAUAAGAAGGUGGGCCUGGGUGGAGAGUGUGUGGUCCCAAGACUAGCUCCAGGUUCUCCGCCUUCUCUGCCCUCAAGACCCUCACACAUUCUCAAUGGGGAGGGCAGGGUUCUGUAUUUCCUUUUACAAAUGAAACAAGAUGGCAAUAAGAUGGUAGGGACCGGAAGGGCAGGGAUGGGAUCUAUUUACACAGGAGUUGGAGUGAGUUUGAGGUGAGGAGUUGGGGGAUCGGGCAGGGAGGGGGAGCCCUGGCAGAGCCAUAAUCUUCCUAUGACCUGGCAGCCUGAGUCCUGCAGCCACCUCAGGGGGAGGGUCCUGGGGUCUGCUCAGCCCCGAGAGGCCUGAGUCCCAGCAGUCCAUACCAGCACCCUGGGGCUCCUCCUCCCUGCAGGAUGUGUUAAGUGGGGUGAGGCUCGCGGCUAGGGCCCUGUUCGCGGCCCGAGUCCCGGUCCUUGUUCUCCGAGGAAGAGGAGGAGCUGGAGCUGUGGCUGCGGCCUGACUGCCGGUAGGCGGUACUCAGCUCCUGUAGCCGCUCUGGUGUCGGCCCCCACUUGGCAAAGCCAGGGUCGUUCUGCAGGAAGAGCACGGCCGUGUUGUGGACGGCCUUGUAGUGCAUUUCUUCCCUGUGGGCAAAGGAGCAGCUCAGGGUGGGGCUCGGCCUGGCGAGAAGGCCCAGUCCUCCCAGCCCCACCCUCCCCCAGCACCCACUUCUUGCAGACGUGCUGGGAGCCACUGCGGUACUCGUGCUCGAAGGCAGGCAGGACCAGCUGGUGGCGUUUGAAGCGGCUCUGCUCCAUGCGGGUGAGCGCCGGUGUGGGGGGUUCUCGCCACUCGGGGAUGAACACGAUGAAGGACAGGGGCUCUGGUGAGCUCUCGAGAAGUUUCUGUGGGAGGGAGGAGGCAUCGGGCAGACAUCAAAGGCUGCCCUCCAGGUGGCUGGCAAUCUUGCUGGCCACCCCCACCCACAGCAGCACACGCACCUCGAAGUGAGAGACCAUGGCAUCCAUGAGCUCCUCGCAGAAUGGAGGGUUGGCCUCAAAGGAACCACUCAGCGGGGAGAAAUCCAGGCAGGGCCUGGGGACGGAGGUGAGCAUUCAAAGUCCUACCAGGACCCAGGCCCUCAAGCAGAAAUGGGUGCCACCCCCACCUUGUUGAAGGGAUGGGCCACGGUCAGGCCAUAAGUGUGGCCGACUUCAUUGGGGGCUGAGGAUGGAGAGGCUCGGGUUUGGCGGCCAAAGCACCAAGCACUUCAUGGAAGGGCUGGAACUCAAACCCAUUUCAGACUCUGCUGCCAUCACAGCACAAGCCCCUGCCAGGGGUCCCCAGCUGCAGAGCCUGUCCCCUUUUUGGCCCAGCCUGUCUUCUGCUGGAGGCUGCAUCUCCUUUCAUUCGUGCUCCCUCCCCUCCCAUCUCCCACGUGAGUCUGUCAGGUCCCUGAGGUCUGAAUCCCCACCUCCCAUGCCUCUCAGUGCCUGGACCAUGUGCUCCCACCCCAGCCAACGCUAAUUCACUGAGAAACCCACCAGCUCCCGAAGUACAGUGAGCAGUCCAAGGCCCCACAGGCAGCAAGGGCUUACACCCAACACCACCCGAUUCCAAGACCCUAUUAAGAAGUAGCUUGCCCAGGUGAGAUCUACGCUCUAGGGGACCCCUUCCCUGGGCAGAGGGCCCUGGCAGCCCCUGGUUCUCACCCGCGGGAGCCGAAGUAGCCAUCAGUGUCCGGGAAGGCAGAGCAGUACUGGCGAAAGUAGCAGUUGAGGGGCGAGGCAAAGCACUCAAAGCUGACGCUGAAGAGUCGGUGGAGGGCCUCAAAGACGUGCACGGGCAGCGAUCCCUGCAGGCCUGUCCCCUCGUAGAGGCCCACGCCAAACAUCAUCUGCACGGUGGCCACUGUCAGCCUCUGAGGCUCAGCCUUCUCCCACCCUCUAGAGGAGCCCUCCCACUGCCGCCCCAGGCCUGUACCUGGUACCGCCGCAGAAGACACCAGACUCGAGGCAGGAACCUCUCAAAGGCAGAGUCGUCAAUGCAGCUAUAGCGACACACAAAAAGGCUUCGUGUGUAUCUGACAGUAAGCAUUCUGGAAGGUUACGGACUAGUUCUGUGGUUACUGGUGCCAGCCACCCUUUCUGUAAGCGGUCAGCGGACCUGGGGCUCCAGCAGGCCUGUCCCCUCCACAGCCUAUGCUCUCAGCCACGAGGCUUCACAGCACCAUCCCCAAGCCCAGCUGGUCGAGCCUGGCCCUUGCUAAGGGUGAUCUGGAAGCAACAAGUCGGCGGCCGAGGAACCCGUUCUGGGUUUGGGCGGACCCGGGGUCCAGAUCCUUCUGCCGCUUUCGACUUACAAACACGAAUCUUUCGACCUCUAGGGUCUGUAUACGUAGAGUCCAGUGUAUUGUACACUUUACGUAAGAAAUGA